AUUGAACGCUGGCGGCAGGCCUAACACAUGCAAGUCGAACGGUAACAGGAAGAAGCUUGCUUCUUUGCUGACGAGUGGCGGACGGGUGAGUAAUGUCUGGGAAACUGCCUGAUGGAGGGGGAUAACUACUGGAAACGGUAGCUAAUACCGCAUAACGUCGCAAGACCAAAGAGGGGGACCUUCGGGCCUCUUGCCAUCGGAUGUGCCCAGAUGGGAUUAGCUAGUAGGUGGGGUAACGGCUCACCUAGGCGACGAUCCCUAGCUGGUCUGAGAGGAUGACCAGCCACACUGGAACUGAGACACGGUCCAGACUCCUACGGGAGGCAGCAGUGGGGAAUAUUGCACAAUGGGCGCAAGCCUGAUGUAGCCAUGCCGCGUGUAUGAAGAAGGCCUUCGGGUUGUAAAGUACUUUCAGCGGGGAGGAAGGGAGUAAAGUUAAUACCUUUGCUCAUUGACGUUACCCGCAGAAGAAGCACCGGCUAACUCCGUG
rnacentral:rRNA from 1 species